CAACUGAUCAGCCAUGCCGCGUGCAGGAGACUGCCCUAUGGGUUGUAAACUGCUUUUAUACAGGAAGAAACACCUCUACGUGUAGAGGCUUGACGGUACUGUAAGAAUAAGGAUCGGCUAACUCCGUGCCAGCAGCCGCGGUAAUACGGAGGAUCCAAGCGUUAUCCGGAAUCAUUGGGUUUAAAGGGUCCGUAGGUGGAUAAUUAAGUCAGAGGUGAAAUCCUGCAGCUCAACUGUAGAAUUGCCUUUGAUACUGGUUAUCUUGAGUUAUUAUGAAGUAGUUAGAAUAUGUAGUGUAGCGGUGAAAUGCAUAGAUAUUACAUAGAAUACCAAUUGCGAAGGCAGAUUACUAAUAAUAUACUGACACUGAUGGACGAAAGCGUGGGGAGCGAACAGGAUUAGAACCCCCUGGUAGA
rnacentral:rRNA from 1 species